GACGAACGCUGGCGGCGUGCCUAAUACAUGCAAGUAGAACGCUGAAGAGAGGAGCUUACUCUUCUUGGAUGAGUUGCGAACGGGUGAGUAACGCGUAGGUAACCUGCCUUGUAGCGGGGGAUAACUAUUGGAAACGAUAGCUAAUACCGCAUAACAAUGGAUGACACAUGUCAUUUAUUUGAAAGGGGCAAUUGCUCCACUACAAGAUGGACCUGCGUUGUAUCAGCUAGUAGGUGAGGUAAUGGCUCACCUAGGCGACGAUACAUAGCCUACCUGAGAGGGUGAUCGGCCACACUGGGACUGAGACACGGCCCAGACUCCUACGGGAGGCAGCAGUAGGGAAUCUUCGGCAAUGGGGGCAACCCUGACCGAGCAACGCCGCGUGAGUGAAGAAGGUUUUCGGAUCGUAAAGCUCUGUUGUAAGUCAAGAACGGGUGUGAGAGUGGAAAGUUCACACUGUGACGGUAGCUUACCAGAAAGGGACGGCUAACUACGUG
rnacentral:rRNA from 1 species